CACUUGGAUAAUAAUUGUAUAUCUUAAAUAUGAACAUAUGAAGCAAUCAGCAGCAGCAUCCUUUCACUGAGCAAGGCUUAAAAAUACCAAAGAAUCAGUGCCAGAAGAAAUUCUUUAACUUAAAAUAUACGUAAUCACUACAUUACCAUAUAAAACAAUGAUUUCUAAAUGCUGGAAAGUAUAUAUCUUAAUCAUGAGACGAGGCAGCACUAUGCACAUUGUGCAUAAUAUGUGAGACAUUGAAUGGUAUAAAAUAAAUUUUAACUUUUAUCUAAGGUUUACAGGAAAAGCAGCAAUACCUAUGAUUAAGCCACCCGACUUAAAUGAGUGUUUUUAAGAUGUGGUGCUUGCACAUAAGCGGAGGAGUGGUGGUAACAACCCUUGUACAGUUCACAAAUCCAGGACUGGCAGGAAGGUAGACAAGUGUCAUUCUCAGAUUUCAGAACCCAGCCUGAAAGUGAGAGGACGUCAG
rnacentral:lncRNA from 1 species